rnacentral:rRNA from 1 species
UACGUAGGGUGCAAGCGUUGUCCGGAAUUAUUGGGCGUAAAGAGCUCGUAGGCGGUUUGUCGCGUCGAAUGUGAAAACCCGGGGCUCAACUCCGGGCCUGCAUUCGAUACGGGCAGACUAGAGUUCGGUAGGGGAGUCUGGAAUUCCUGGUGUAGCGGUGAAAUGCGCAGAUAUCAGGAGGAACACCGGUGGCGAAGGCGGGACUCUGGGCCGAUACUGACGCUGAGGUGCGAAAGCGUGGGGAGCAAACAGG